rnacentral:rRNA from 1 species
UACGGGGGGAGCAAGCGUUGUUCGGAUUUACUGGGCGUAAAGGGCGCGUAGGCGGCGCAACAAGUCACUUGUGAAAUCUCCGGGCUUAACUCGGAGCGGCCAAGUGAUACUGUCGUGCUAGAGUGCGGAAGGGGCUACUGGAAUUCUCGGUGUAGCGGUGAAAUGCGUAGAUAUCGAGAGGAACACCUGCGGCGAAGGCGGGUAGCUGGGCCGACACUGACGCUGAGGCGCGAAAGCCAGGGGAGCGUACGGG